rnacentral:tRNA from 1 species
AAAACUAGUUAAAUUUUUAAUAACAAAAGAAUGUCAUUCUUUAAUUACUCAAAGUGUUUUUUA